GAUAUACUCCCUCUGUCCGAAAAUACUUGUCAUAGGAAUGGAUGUAUCUAGAUAUAUUUUAGUUCUAGAUACAUACAUUUUUAUACAUUUACGCGACAAGUAUUUCCGAACGGAGGGAGUAGUAU
rfam:Hordeum vulgare subsp. vulgare, WGS project CAJW01000000 data, contig: morex_contig_51243